GUGUCAGCAGCCGCGGUAAAACGUAGGACGCGAGCGUUAUCCGGAGUUACUGGGCGUAAAGCGCGGGCAGGCGGCUGCUCAAGUGGGAUGUGAAAGCGCCCGGCUAAACCGGGCGAGGCCAUUCCAGACUGAGCGGCUGGAGGGCAGUAGAGGUGGGUGGAAUUCCGGGUGGAGUGGUGAAAUGCGUAGAGAUCCGGAGGAACACCAGAGGCGAAGGCGGCCCACUGGGCUGCACCUGACGCUGAGCCGCGAAAGCCAGGGGAGCGAACGGGAUUAGAUACCCCGGUAGUCC
rnacentral:rRNA from 1 species